GACGAACGCUGGCGGCGUGCUUAACACAUGCAAGUCGAACGGAAAGGCCCUGCUCUUGUGGGGUGCUCGAGUGGCGAACGGGUGAGUAACACGCGAGUAACCUGCCCUUGACUUUGGGAUAACUUCUGGAAACUGGGGCUCAUAUCGGAUAGGAGCUCCUGCUGCACGGUGGGGGUUGGAAAGUUUCGGCGGUUGGGGAUGGACUGGCGGCUUAUCAGCUUGUUGGUGGGGUAGUGGCUUACCAAGGCUUCGACGGGUAGCCGGCCUGGGAGGGUGACCGGCCACAAUGGGACUGAGGUACGGCCCAGACUCCUACGGGAGGCAGCGGUGGGGAAUAUUGCGCAAUGGGCGGAAGCCUGAUGCAGCGACGCCGCGUGCGGGAUGACGGCCUUCGGGUUGUAAACCUCUUUCGCCUGUGACGAAGCGUGAGUGACGGUAAUGAGUAAGGAAGCACCGGCUAACUACGUG
rnacentral:rRNA from 1 species